rnacentral:lncRNA from 1 species
UCGAAACAAACGACGCUAAGCUCAAUCAUUAAGCAUAUAGGGCUAGGGUUGACAAAAACUCACCGAUUGCGAAGGGAGCUCUCACAAUCUCCAAAUGGGAGCUAGAGUCCUUCCAAUCAAACCUAAACAAAGGUUCUAAACCCAUCAAUUUGAUACAAAAGCCCUCAAAACGAAAAUCCCCAAAUCUAACCCUAAAAUGCCAAAUCUAGGGUUUGAUCUAGUAAAAUCCAACAAAAUCCGAAUCUAGAGGAGAGAAAUUGCUACUAACCUUUUAGAAGCUCCAAACCAAGCUCCAAAGUCCUCUAGGGUUGAAGGUUGAUCCUCAAACAAGCUCCAACCAAGAUCUCACACUUCUCCAAUGGUGGAAAACCCACAAAAAGCAAGAAGGAGAAGAGAAAAGAGAUCAAAACUAGCAAAAAUCCAACAAAAAUGAAGAAGAAACCAAAGGGGAGGAGUUCUCACCUUAUCUUCUCUGUUCUAGGGCUCAAAAGAGCAGCCAUGAGGGCUGGGGUGACUUAUAUAGGCGUUGCAACAAUUGCAAAAACACCCCUCUACGAAACAGUCAAAAUCUGCACUGCGUACCGGUACACGGGUUUGUGUACCGGUACACUGCCCACGAAAUGCCAAACCCGAGCCUCGGGUUCGCUGGGAAAUGCUCUGUGUACCGGUACACAACCACGUACCGGUACAGCCAUCAACCCCGUACCGGUACAGCAAGCGAACCCGUACCGGUACACGGCCUGCUGAAGGCCACCCAAGAGCUGACCAAAAAUCCAACUUUUUGGAUUUUGGUACACAGCUUUAAACCACAAUUCUCGGGACUCGAACC